GCGGUAUACCGCAUGACUAGGUUU
rnacentral:snRNA from 1 species